UACGGAGGGUGCAAGCGUUAUCCGGAUUCACUGGGUUUAAAGGGUGCGUAGGUGGGCAUGUAAGUCAGUGGUGAAAUCUCCGGGCUUAACUCGGAACGGUCAGAUGAUACUGCUUUGCUAGAGUGCGGAAGGGGCAAUCGGAAUUCUUGGUGUAGCGGUGAAAUGCGUAGAUAUCGAAGAGGAACACCUGAGGUGAAGACGGGUUGCUGGGCCGACACUGACGCUGAUGACGCGAAAGCCAGGGGAGCAAACGGG
rnacentral:rRNA from 1 species